UUUCUGCAGUGUAAAUUAUUUUUGAUUAUGGUUGCCUUUUUCUCAGAAAAUUGAUGAGCAACCAGAGUCGCUUUGGUGGUCUGAAUGUCUGAUAAUGGAUAUGAACUUCAGUUGAAGCCUGGUUGACUAUGCUCGACCUAGCAGGGAGGAGGAACCCAUGGCGUGAUUGAAGAAGAUGAGGAUCCGAAAUUGCAGAGAUGAUGUCUCAAGGAAUGAGCACUUUUUUUGGUUAUCAGGCUGAUUGAUCUUUGGUUAUUGCUAAUUUUUGGUGUAGCAAAUCAUGCUUCUCCGUACAAGUGGGUAGAGGCAUGAAGGCAAAACAACAAAAGGAAAUGGUAUGUUCUCAGGAUAUGGUGUAGCAAAUCAUGCUUCUACUGAUGCAAGAAAUAACUAUUUGAUUACUAAACUAGGCCCCUGGUGUGAUAUUUGGUCAUGUUCUAGACCAGAGUAUCUUUAUAUUAAUUCAAAGACGUACAAUUGACGUAGAAAUGACAUGUUAGUCCAAUCUCGAAGGCUGCGGUUGCAGAGAACGAGUUAUGUUGAUAUACGAAAUCUGGGGCAUUGGCUUAUCGUGGCACCUUUAACCACAUAUUCUUCUUAUCUUUUCAGUUCUUUUAGGGUAGAAUGUUGAAGUUCAGUAUUCACUUGUGCUCAUUUUCCAUGCCGAUACAACAUGGCUUGCGAGCUUAGGGACGAUUUGGAGAAACCGAGUACCUCAUGCUAAAAUUUAGUCUCUUAUAUUUCUUUCAACCGGAACAUGAUCUCAAGGCACCAGGUAGUCCGCAAGCGAAACAAUUCAUGUGGUGUCUUUCUCAUAACAGCCUCCCACAUCGCUGCAUUAUUCUGAGGAGAGGCAUUGAGAUUGAUACUUUAUGCCCCAUGUGCUCUAGAUUUAAUGAAGAUGGUGGCCAUCUAUUUCAGAAGUGCAAGCCUCUGUGUGCAUUGUGGAGGAUCUGAAGCUUGAACCCAUCAGAGCUAAGUUGGCCUCUUGUCUUGAUGCCAAAGAUGUCAUUGCACAGAUACUAGGUGCCAAUGAACAGGAGAAGAUGAGAUGUGUUGACCUGCUUUCGGUCUGGUGGCGUGUGAGGAACAAAUGCAAUGUUGCUGAGUCUACGUCCUUGUCAGAUUCAGUUUGUCAUGUCUCUAACUGCUGAGUUUGAACAACAGUGAAGAAAGAUAAAGAAGAAAGAGCAACCUGCUAUGAGAUCAAGUGGAAGCCACCGGUGCACGAUGUUCUGAAGAUAAAUAUUGAUGGGAGCAUGGACCCAGCCAAUGCGUCUGGUGGCUGGGGUUUGGUGUUCAGAGAUGAGCUCGGAGUUGUAGCCGGUUUAGGUGCUAGCCAUAUGGAGCAUCUGCAGGAUGUUCUCCACAGUGAGGCAGAGGCCUACCUGCAAUCACUGUUUCAGGCUCAAAUAUGGUGUAUUUCUUGGGUUCACGUUGAACUGACUCACAACUUCUGGUGCAACCGAUCAAGGGAAGCGAGCAACGGUGCUAUUUUUAGGGAUAUUAAAUUUCAGAUUUCGUUGAACUUCUCUGUUUUCAGUAUUUUGUAAUGCACGCCCUCGGGCCUGUAAUAAAGUGGCGUACGCUAUGGUGACGCAUGGUGGUGAGAUUAGGGCUCAGCCCCCCAUCCUUUUGGCCGGGUUGUGUCCCUAGCUUCAUGUCUGAUUAGGUACCCUGAGGGACUGGCGGUGACCGCUCGGAAAGCGACAGACUGAUAUAAGACAAAUGAUAUGUUAUGUU